rnacentral:tRNA from 2 species
AUGCAUGGGGAAUGGUCGGGAUAGCUCAGCUGGUAGAGCAGAGGACUGA